rnacentral:rRNA from 1 species
AGUAACGCGUAGACAACUUGCCCAGAGAUUUGGGAUAACAUCGAGAAAUUGAUGCUAAUACCGAAUAAUAUCACGGACACCCCGGUGUCUGUGAUCAAAGGUGGCUUCGGCUACCGUCUUUGGAUGGGUCUGCGUCUGAUUAGCUUGUUGGUGAGGUAAUGGCUCACCAAGGCGACGAUCAGUAGCUGGUCUGAGAGGAUGAUCAGCCACACUGGGACUGAGAUACGGCCCAGACUCC